AGGACGAACGCUGGCGGCGUGCUUAACACAUGCAAGUCGAACGGUAAGGCCCUUCGGGGUACACGAGUGGCGAACGGGUGAGUAACACGUGGGUGAUCUGCCCUGCACUUCGGGAUAAGCUUGGGAAACUGGGUCUAAUACCGGAUAGGACCACGGUCUGCAUGGAUUGUGGUGGAAAGCUUUUGCGGUGUGGGAUGGGCCCGCGGCCUAUCAGCUUGUUGGUGGGGUGAUGGCCUACCAAGGCGACGACGGGUAGCCGGCCUGAGAGGGUGUCCGGCCACACUGGGACUGAGAUACGGCCCAGACUCCUACGGGAGGCAGCAGUGGGGAAUAUUGCACAAUGGGCGCAAGCCUGAUGCAGCGACGCCGCGUGGGGAUGACGGCCUUCGGGUUGUAAACCUCUUUCAGCAGGGACGAAGGGUGACUGACGGUACCUGUAGAAGAAGCACCGGCCAACUACGUG
rnacentral:rRNA from 1 species